AUUGCCAAAAAAAAAAGGAAAAGUGAGUUACCUUUGAAACAUCCGCCGAAUGAAAAAAAAAAUCAGAAAGGAAAGCCUCUCUAGAUCUAAAUCAACGAUUUCUUUCAUUGUUUCGUUCGACUCUUACCUCUCGUCGAUUCGAUUUCCAAAUCGCUUAUCCAUGCACAAUUUCAUCAGUUUGUAUAGAUACCAAAAAAUUCUUCAUCCAAAUUUUGUAGAUUAAUCUUCGGAGUCGAUACAGAGCCUUUGUAACAGAGAUUCAAGACAAUGAUAAGAUUCACUUUCAAAAUCAAAACAGUAUGCUGGCUCAUUUUGUACUUUAUAAAGUAAAUAAUCAUUUGUUUGCUUUGUAAUUAAUCGCAGGUUGGUAAAAAUACACUUCACUGUAUCAUACUUUUAACAUGAAAAAUUCAUAGGUACUUUACUAUGUAGAUUAGCUUAUGUUCUUAAACAUGUGGAAUACACACAAUCAUUAAACCUUUAUGUCAUCUUUCCUUUAGAACUGAGAAUAAGACUAACGAAAAACAUCCUUUAGAAAAUAUAAUAGCCAUUAAAAAGAAACUUCCUCAGCCUUAUGUUGUCUUCUUGAUAGUCUUUUGUUUUGGAGCCUGUAAAUUAAAAUCAAGAAACAAAUUAUAAUAGUUUAAUAGAAUAUACGAAUAAGCCAAACCUUUAGUCUAGAUACUUACAUUGUUGUGACAUGACCAUUACAAUGCUUUUGGAUCUUGAAUCACGAUAGUUGUAAACAAAAAUAAAUAAGUACAGAUUGUAUAAGAAACAAAACAAUUGAUAGGAACUAAGCUUUUGGUUUUGCUUUUGUUACGAGCUGCCGUGAAAGAGAACUUAUUUAUAGUGUUAAUGAGAAAGUAGGGUGUUAUGUGAGCGCGUAGAAAUAAGCUUGGUGAGCAAGUAGGUAAUAUCUUUGGAAAUAUUACAAUUUCGGAAGGUGAGUAAAUUUUUGUUAGGAGCUUAUGAAAUAUGCUAGGAUAGAAUUAUGGUUUAUAAGAUAUUAUUGCGUGUUUUACGGUGUUUUAGUUAAUGCAAAAUCCAUGCAUUUUGAAAGGAAAGCUACAAAAUCAAUUAGUAUAAAUCGUUAAGAUAUUUUUGUUUCUAUAUCGGAAAAUAAUUGAAUGUUGUUUUAUUUGUUUUCAAAAGAAUCGAAUCUCAUUGGAAAGGAAACUUGUAAUCAAGUGGAUAUAAUGAAUAUAGGAAGAUGUUUAACGAAAUAAUAUUAUUAAAAUUAUUUAUAAAUUUAAUAAUAAAUGACAAUGACAUAUCUGUAAAUAUGUUAGAAGACCAAGCCUUUUUCACAAAACUGCUGUGAAAAUGUUAAUAUAGAUUCUUAAACAUAUCACAAAUAUGGAAUUUUUACUUAUAAUAUAUAUAAAUUUAUAAAUUUGUAUUAUGAAUGUUUUACGGAACAGAUUAUAAUAUUGUAAAUUUGUAUAUUAUUUAUAAUAUUUUUAAAAUCGUAUCAUAAAAAUGAUAUUUUCAAACCUUUCCUCGAUUUUCAAAACCUUGCAAGAGAGUACAUAUUUUUUUUCUGGUUAUGAAUUAAUUUAUAUAGUAAGGGGGAGAGGGGUUAUAGAAAGAAAAACUAAAGUUUACUAAAUUAGAAUGAACUGUGAGUUCGAUAUCAAUUAGUCUGAUUCAAUUAUGUAUUUUUAAAAAAUAUUAUAAAAAUUUAUAAAAAAGUUACUGUUAAUUAAGUUAUUAAUUUCUAUUAAAUACUAUUGUUAUGUAAAAUAAACUAAAAAUUGUGAUUUAAUUGCGAUGCCAAAUUGUUAUAUAUCUUUUGAUUAAAAUUUGAUUGAAAGUUAAUCAGACGAACCAAAUGUCAUUUUAUUACAGCCAUUUGGAUAGAAAUUAUCUAAAACUGUAAAACACUUUAAAAUCUUUCAGUUUUUAAUUAUGUAUCUAACUUUUUCUAGAAGAUUGACUUUCUGAAUAGAAGAAGAAGAAUGGUAAUAAUAACUAAAUUAUAGAGAAUAACUUACUCAUUGUUUCAUAUAUUUAAACUAAUUGACAAUUUAGUCAGCGUAGAUUGCGUUACCUUCAUAAUUGCGAUAUAUAUAUAUAUAUAUGUGUAUCUACAAUCAAAGAAAUUACAAAAUCAAUUCACAAAUCACCAAAAAAAACUUAACAAAAGAAAAAAAGUUUUUUCCAAAACAAAAAAAAAAUCUGACUUGAAGAUGAAGCUGGUGAUCCUAGUAUCUUUUUUGCUCCUUCUCCCGAUGUUUUCGUCAGGGGUCGUGGACACUUUGCUUCUUGACAACGUCAACCACGAGAAAAUGGUUAAGAAGGAGGUGGUUAUGAAUGGAAAAAGAAUCGAUCUUGAGAUAGACUACGCUGGUCCACAUCUAAGACCAUCUGAUCCAUCCGAUCCUCCGAAAAAACAAAUGAGGUUGUGACAAAGGAACCACCGGUGUAUAUCAAAGACGACUAUAAGGAUCCGGCUCCAAUUCCAGUUAUACGACGACCGGUGCCAUACUUACCUCGCCCUCCUCCUCCUCCUCCUCACCAUAAAUCAGUAGAGAACUAAUUUUAAUAAAACAAACUGUUGUCAUAAUGUCAUUAGAUUAGAUGACCAUCUAAUCCGCUUAAAAUUACAUAAAUUUUGAUUUUGAUUUAAAAUUAAAUCAUAAUCAAACUGUUGUCAUAAUGUCAUUCGCUUUCGAUUCAGGUAAUUCAAAAUUUGGAUUGGAUGUA